AGAGUUUGAUCCUGGCUCAGGAUGAACGCUAGCUACAGGCUUAACACAUGCAAGUCGAGGGGCAUCAGUUUGGUUUGCUUGCAAACCAAAGCUGGCGACCGGCGCACGGGUGAGUAACACGUAUCCAACCUGCCUCAUACUCGGGGAUAGCCUUUCGAAAGAAAGAUUAAUAUCCGAUAGCAUAUAUUUCCCGCAUGGGUUUUAUAUUAAAGAAAUUCGGUAUGAGAUGGGGAUGCGUUCCAUUAGUUUGUUGGCGGGGUAACGGCCCACCAAGACUACGAUGGAUAGGGGUUCUGAGAGGAAGGUCCCCCACAUUGGAACUGAGACACGGUCCAAACUCCUACGGGAGGCAGCAGUGAGGAAUAUUGGUCAAUGGACGAGAGUCUGAACCAGCCAAGUAGCGUGAAGGAUGACUGCCCUAUGGGUUGUAAACUUCUUUUAUACGGGAAUAAAGUGAGGCACGUGUGCCUUUUUGUAUGUACCGUAUGAAUAAGGAUCGGCUAACUCCGUGCCAGCAGCCGCGGUAAUACGGAGGAUCCGAGCGUUAUCCGGAUUUAUUGGGUUUAAAGGGAGCGUAGGCGGACGCUUAAGUCAGUUGUGAAAGUUUGCGGCUCAACCGUAAAAUUGCAGUUGAUACUGGGUGUCUUGAGUACAGUAGAGGCAGGCGGAAUUCGUGGUGUAGCGGUGAAAUGCUUAGAUAUCACGAAGAACUCCGAUUGCGAAGGCAGCUUGCUGGACUGUAACUGACGCUGAUGCUCGAAAGUGUGGGUAUCAAACAGGAUUAGAUACCCUGGUAGUCCACACAGUAAACGAUGAAUACUCGCUGUUUGCGAUAUACAGUAAGCGGCCAAGCGAAAGCGUUAAGUAUUCCACCUGGGGAGUACGCCGGCAACGGUGAAACUCAAAGGAAUUGACGGGGGCCCGCACAAGCGGAGGAACAUGUGGUUUAA
rnacentral:rRNA from 1 species